GACGUAGGUGGCGAACGUUAUCCGGAAUUAUUGGGCGUAAAGGGUGCGCAGAUGACCUAGUAAGUUAGCGGUGGGAAAUCGAGGCCCAACCUCGUGGAAGCCGGUAAUACUAUUAGGAUUGAGUUCAGGAGAGGUUAACGGAAUUUCAUGUGGAGCGGUAAAAUGUGUAGAUAUAUGAAAGAACACCAAUAACGGCGAAGGCAGUUAACUAUUCUGUUACUGACAUUGAGGCACGAAAGCGUGGGGAGCAAAACGG
rnacentral:rRNA from 1 species